rnacentral:rRNA from 1 species
UACGUAGGCAGCGAGCGUUGUUCGGAAUUACUGGGCGUAAAGAGUGUGUAGGCGGUGCUCUAAGUUCGGUGUGAAAUCUCCUGCUUAACUGGGAGGGUGCGCCGGAAACUGGAGUGCUCGAACGUGGGAGAGGAAAGCGGAAUUCCUGGUGUAGCGGUGAAAUGCGUAGAUAUCUGGAGGAACACCGGUGGCGAAGGCGGCUAUCUGGACCGACAUUGACGCUGAGGCGCGAAAGCGUGGGGAGCAAACAGG